CAUGGCUACACUAAUAUAAAAGCGCAUAUACCUGGCCGCCAAUUUCUUCAUUCCUCCUACAACGCUAGGUUUUCACUUCACCCCUCUGCUUCACUCGUAAUUACCAUUCUACCAUUCUUCUAACAAUCCCCGCCGGUCACCGGAAAACCGAUACUCGCCACCACUCCGCUGCCGCCGCCGCUCUCGGUCUCCGUCUCCGAUUCAAGUAACAAAUCCAUUUGCAAGCAAUCAUGAUGCCAUCACCGAGAACUCACCGGCGAGGUAACGACGAGAAGAAUCGAAAGGAUAUGAGGUUAUCGGAGAAAUCCAAGUCGUUUCACGGCCAGAGCUCAGGGAGUAGUAAAACGGAGUUGCUGCGAAGGCCGAAGACGGUACCGGG
rnacentral:lncRNA from 1 species